UGCGCUGUGCGCUGCGCAGUUCAUGAGUUCACAUCAAAAUGGCGCUCGCUCACUCGCUGUGCGUAGAACGUAGUACUUGUGUAAACGUGUAAAUAAAUUGGAGAUAGCAUACAAGAAAACAGAAAGGGUUCGCGGUUCACCUUUUUUGUAACGGUUUCCUCGACGUCCUUUACAAAGUCCAGUUGAUAUCGUGUCCUGUCCACGUCCAGGGUGGAUCAGACCUGAUCUACAAAAUCUUGGAGCAGCCGCUUUCGUCGUAUGCCAUUAAAAAAAUUAAAACAUGCCCGUUAUUAAAAUUUGGUCAGUAGACCAAACAAUCAAGAAAGCUGUUCCAAUAAUGGACCCAACUUUAAAAAAUAUCAUUGAAAAAGGUGAGUAAAUCUAAAUUAAUUUGACUUUUCGUAAUGAAAUAUUUUUUGUGUAAUUGUAGAAUGUAGUGUAUUGUAGAAUAGACUAUAAUUGGAUACCUACUGUUAAGCAUUAAUGUGCUGACUCAAACCACAUUUAUUUUGCAGUAUGAUGUCAAUUUAAAAAUUUGACGCUUGAAGUUGACAAGAUAGAGCUGAUGCUGAACCCUGGCUGUACCUAGUGGAACUCAGGUUUGGUGCAACAUAGGCCCACGCUAUUUUGAUCAUCCGUCACAUAGAGGGAGAGCAAUACCCAAGAUAUAAUUCAUAAUCCAUUUUCUUCCAGAUGAGGUACCAUCCUAAAUAUAGUAGUUCCAUUUACUAAUCUUAUUAACUUUUUCUUUUCCAGGAACCAUUAACCAGGGUUCAAGUUGCAGAGCUAUCCGAAAUAGCUGCGCCUAACAUUGUAUUUUUAGAUAAUGAAAAUAUAAUUAUAUUACUUGCUGGUAGAAAAAACGAUUGUUAGCGAAACAGAUUCUGCCUACGUCGUUACAACUAUUGAUGGCGGCUUACUGCAACUUGAAUAUGGAAUAUCCAGUGGACUGUCAAAACACAUUAGAAUUUAUACAAAGGUAUAUUUUUAUUAAAAUAAAUCCUAAAGAAGGAAGUCAUAAGUAAUAGUUUUUGAUUUUUAAAAAGCGUUUUUCAAUUAAAAGACAUGUCAAGAUCGCUUAACUUCUUGCAAGUUCUUUCUAAUGCUAAAAAAACUAACUAUAAUUAAUGUCAGUAACAAACAUUUUCAGACAAUUCGUUACUUGAAAUGGUAUAGGUUUCACGCAUUAGAUUCACAUAGGCCUUAUUAACCGAAACUUUUAUAAGACUAAUUCAUAAGAAGUACUUAUGUACAUAAGAUAUAAUUUAUAGUGUCGUAUAUGUCUUCUACUUUUUGUACUCUGUCACAGAAUAAAUAAUAAUAAUAUGCACGUAGACGUGUAUAUACGCGUGUGCUCUAUAAUUUGAGUGUGUGAAAUUCAAUAAAUUUAUUUCUUUGUAA